rnacentral:lncRNA from 13 species
AUCCUCUCUAACAUAUAGGAUACUUCAGAACUUAUAAGCAAGAUAAAGGCAGAAGUGUUUGUAUCCUGGUUUCAGGGUGACGAGUAGCUAAGACAAGUUGACUUUAAGGAGAUCAAGAGUGGAGAUGAGAAGAGUCAAAGCAGGGAAACAGCAUGUCCAAUAGGCAAGGCUGUCAGUGACAUCCCUCAGUCCUGAAUAAACCAAUUUGACGUCACCAGUUUCUAACCCAUCAUGUGUUUGGGUUUCUUCUCCCCAGUCCCUGGCUUUCGGUGUACCGCCCCAAAUGUCAACACGGUGGCGUCUGGCCGGCCUCCCAGAAAAAUCCCAGAGAUGAACGUUCCAGAAGGCAUUGAGAAAUCCUGCUCCCAACAGGAAGAAAGCAAACCCAGUGUCGGAGCCAUCAAAAAGCGACUUCUUUUGAGCCUGGUGGCCUACUUCCUGAAGUACCGGCUGAAGUCAUACAAAGAUCGAAAAGAUGACGAUGAAGAACAGAAAUACAGAGACUGCAAAAAUAAACUUCUAAUGUGUCAAGUGGCCUACUACCUGGGCUGCCGGCUGAAGACAGAAGGUA